rnacentral:rRNA from 1 species
CCUACGUGUGGCAGCAGUGAGGAAUAUUGGUCAAUGGACGAGAGUCUGACGCAGCGACGCCGCGUGAGGGAUGAAGGUCUUCGGAUCGUAAACCUCUGUCAGCAGGGAAGAACGGUCACUGUGCUAAUCAGCAGUGAAUUGACGGUACCUGCAAAGGAAGCACCGGCUAACUCCGUGCCAGCAGCCGCGGUAAUACGGAGGGUGCGAGCGUUAAUCGGAAUUACUGGGCGUAAAGCGCUCGUAGGCGGUAUGUCAAGUCAAGGGUGAAAUCCCCGCGCUCAACGUGGGAACUGCCUUUGAAACUGGCAAACUGGAGUGUGUGAGAGGAUAGUGGAAUUCCAGGUGUAGGAGUGAAAUCCGUAGGUAUCUGGAGGAACAUCAGUGGCGAAGGCGACUAUCUGGCACAUAACUGACGCUGAGGAGCGAAAGCGUGGGUAGCAAACAGGAUUAGAUACCCCUGUAGUC